CAGUAGCCGCGGUAAUACGAAGGGCGCGAGCGUUACCCGGAUUUACUGGGCGUAAAGGGCGUGUAGGCGGCCUGGGGCGUCCCAUGUGAAAGGCCACGGCUCAACCGUGGAGGAGCGUGGGAUACGCUCAGGCUAGAGGGUGGGAGAGGGUGGUGGAAUUCCCGGAGUAGCGGUGAAAUGCGCAGAUACCUGGAGGAACGCCGAUGGCGAAGGCAGCCACCUGGUCCACUUCUGACGCUGAGGCGCGAAAGCGUGGGGAGCAAACCGGAUUAGAUACCCGGGUAGUCCCUGUCUCUUAUAC
rnacentral:rRNA from 1 species